UUAACGUUCUAUAGACUAAAUAACGGGGUUGAAACUGAUUUUGUACAUAACCCUUUAACAAUGUAAUUCGAAAGUAUAACGUUAAAACAUAUUUCAGAAAUGUUUAAUGAUAUCUUUGGAGAAGUGCUCUGGAAAGGUCUAAUCGAGGAUAAACCCCCAGAUCCGGGGGAAAUACAGGCAAAAAGAAACGGGGGCAGGCGAAGAACUUGUUUUGUGCCUGGAUGCCGUCCACCCCCUGGAACAUCCAGAUUCUAAUUUCCAAAGAACAAAAAGAAGCAGGAAUUGUGGCUGAAUUCUUUGAAGAUUGACGACACUAAUGAAAUCGGAGAUAGCAGAGUGCGUGCUCUUCAUUUUGCUAUGUCUGAUUUUAAUCCAAAUUUGAGGACUUUUUCGAAACUUCCAGAAAUCUCCCCUGCAAGGAAAUUUCUCUGAUCUUCUGCAAUUCCAUCAAUAACUGUAAAAGAACCAAGAUCUCCAUUAUCAACCUUUUUUGUAAAAUUCCAAAGAAUAAGGCAUCUAAAUGUUUUAGUAAACAAACAAGGGCAUCACAUGAUACGAAAUUUAAAACAAAAAGGCCAAUUCAUGUUUUAAUAAAUAGUUAAAAAUA
rnacentral:lncRNA from 1 species